CCAAAGGCUCUUUUCAGAGCCACCUACACGGUCGGAAAAGAGUUG
rfam:Struthio camelus australis contig44127, whole genome shotgun sequence.